ACGGAAGGCAGCAGUGGGGAAUAUUGGACAAUGGGCGAAAGCCUGAUCCAGCGACGCCGCGUGGGUGAAGAAGGCCUGCGGGUUGUAAAGCCCUUUCGGUGGGGAAGAAAAGCCUCGAGCUAAUACCUCGGGGUCUUGACGUAACCCAUAGAAGAAGCACCGGCUAACUCUGUGCCAGCAGCCGCGGUAAUACAGAGGGUGCGAGCGUUAAUCGGAAUUACUGGGCGUAAAGCGCGCGUAGGCGGCUUUGCAAGUCGGGUGUGAAAUCCCCAGGCUUAACCUGGGAACUGCAUUCGAGACUGCAUUGCUAGAGUAUGGGAGAGGGAAGUGGAAUUUCCGGUGUAGCGGUGAAAUGCGUAGAUAUCGGAAGGAACAUCAGUGGCGAAAGCGACUUCCUGGACCAAUACUGACGCUCAUGUGCGAAAGCGUGGGGAGCAAACAGGAUUAGAUACCCUGGUA
rnacentral:rRNA from 1 species